rnacentral:rRNA from 1 species
CAGCCGCCGCGGGAAUACGUAGGUGGCAAGCGUUGUCCGGAAUUAUUGGGCGUAAAGCGCGCGCAGGUGGUUCCUUAAGUCUGAUGUGAAAGCCCCCGGCUCAACCGGGGAGGGUCAUUGGAAACUGUGGAACUUGAGUGCAGAAGAGGAUAGUGGAAUUCCAAGUGUAGCGGUGAAAUGCGUAGAGAUUUGGAGGAACACCAGUGGCGAAGGCGACUCUCUGGUCUGUAACUGACGCUGAGGAGCGAAAGCGUGGGGAGCGAACAGGAUUAGAUACCCGAGUAGUCCCUGUCUCUUAUAC